UACGAAGGGUGCAAGCGUUAAUCGGAAUUACUGGGCGUAAAGGGCGCGUAGGCGGCCUGUUAAGUCGAACGUGAAAUCCCUGGGCUCAACCCAGGAACUGCGUCCGAUACUGGCAGGCUUGAAUCCGGGAGAGGGAUGUGGAAUUCCAGGUGUAGCGGUGAAAUGCGUAGAUAUCUGGAGGAACACCGGUGGCGAAGGCGGCAUCCUGGACCGGUAUUGACGCUGAGGCGCGAAAGCCAGGGGAGCAAACGGG
rnacentral:rRNA from 1 species